rnacentral:rRNA from 1 species
GAUAAACGCUGGCGGCGUGCCUAAUACAUGCAAGUCGAGCGAACGGACGAGAAGCUUGCUUCUCUGAUGUUAGCGGCGGACGGGUGAGUAACACGUGGAUAACCUACCUAUAAGACUGGGAUAACUUCGGGAAACCGGAGCUAAUACCGGAUAAUAUUUUGAACCGCAUGGUUCAAAAGUGAAAGACGGUCUUGCUGUCACUUAUAGAUGGAUCCGCGCUGCAUUAGCUAGUUGGUAAGGUAACGGCUUACCAAGGCAACGAUGCAUAUCCGACCUGAGAGGGUGAUCGGCCACACUGGAACUGAGACACGGUCCAGACUCCUACGGGAGGCAGCAGUAGGGAAUCUUCCGCAAUGGGCGAAAGCCUGACGGACCAACGCCGCGUGAGUGAUGAAGGUCUUCGGAUCGUGAAACUCUGUUAUUAGGGAAGAACAUGUGUGUAAGUAACUGUGCACAUCUUGACGGUACCUAAUCAGAAAGCCACGGCUAACUACGUGCCAGCAGCCGCGGUAAUACGUAUGUGGCAAGCGUUAUCCGGAAUUAUUGGGGCGUAAAGCGCGCGUAGGCGGUUUUUUAAGUCUGAUGUGAAAGCCCACGGCUCAACCGUGGAGGGUCAUUGGAAACUGGAAAACUUGAGUGCAGAAGAGGAAAGUGGAAUUCCAUGUGUAGCGGUGAAAUGCGCAGAGAUAUGGAGGAACACCAGUGGCGAAGGCGACUUUCUGGUCUGUAACUGACGCUGAUGUGCGAAAGCGUGGGGAUCAAACAGGAUUAGAUACCCUGGUAGUCCACGCCGUAAACGAUGAGUGCUAAGUGUUAGGGGGUUUCCGCCCCUUAGUGCUGCAGCUAACGCAUUAAGCACUCCGCCUGGGGAGUACGACCGCAAGGUUGAAACUCAAAGGAAUUGACGGGGACCCGCACAAGCGGUGGAGCAUGUGGUUUAAUUCGAAGCAACGCGAAGAACCUUACCAAAUCUUGACAUCCUUUGACAACUCUAGAGAUAGAGCCUUCCCCUUCGGGGGACAAAGUGACAGGUGGUGCAUGGUUGUCGUCAGCUCGUGUCGUGAGAUGUUGGGUUAAGUCCCGCAACGAGCGCAACCCUUAAGCUUAGUUGCCAUCAUUAAGUUGGGCACUCUAAGUUGACUGCCGGUGACAAACCGGAGGAAGGUGGGGAUGACGUCAAAUCAUCAUGCCCCUUAUGAUUUGGGCUACACACGUGCUACAAUGGACAAUACAAAGGGCAGCGAAACCGCGAGGUCAAGCAAAUCCCAUAAAGUUGUUCUCAGUUCGGAUUGUAGUCUGCAACUCGACUACAUGAAGCUGGAAUCGCUAGUAAUCGUAGAUCAGCAUGCUACGGUGAAUACGUUCCCGGGUCU